rnacentral:snRNA from 1 species
GUCCCUGCGCUGGGGCGGUCGCGCGACAGAUGACGCUCAGCGGAUGUGCGCGGAUUGCUAGUUGAAAACUACUCCAGUUCCGGUGGUUCCUGCCAAAAGGUAUGGUUCCCAAUUUUUGAGACAAUCGGCCCUCAGGGGCUAACAGAUA